GUGCCUCUUUGGCAGCACAUACACUAAAAUUGGAAUGAUACAGAGAAGAUUUGCAUGGCUCCUGUGCAGGGAUGACAUACAAAUUCCUGAUUUUUUUUUUUUUUUU